UAUAUUAUUAUUGAUUAUUAUUUAUUCGAGAAAUUCGAAUGAUGCAUAACGAGUGUGAUAUUUCCGGCGUUAUCUUAUUUUCGAUAAAACAUUUUCCUCUUGACGUUGAAUUACCAAGAACGUCGUAUUCUCAGUUAGAUUUUCUUCUCGGACAGAGGUCAGUGUGAAAUGCGAUUAUAAGAUUGUUUUGAGCAAACAAUAAACUGACAAUGAUUCGAUUUCUCGAGGAAAGAUCGUAAAAAAGUGAGGAAAAAAGAUAAAUUCUCAACCGCGGUCGAUGGUUUCAUCGAGCGACCGAAAAUAUCCGAACGAGGAGGUUUCUCCCUCGGGCAACGACAAUUGAGUCAAUUUAGAGAGCGGUUUUGAUAGGUCGCCUGACAUGUGAGCGCGUUACACGGCAGGUGUUCUGAAAUAUUACGCCCGCGUGCUACGCCAAUUAUCCCCGACGUCAUGCCCGAAAGGCGUAAUGGACGAUUACUACCGACACCAAAUCGCAACGCUUUUUUAUUUGUCCCCCCUAUUUUAAAUGGAGUUCAGAGAUGCUCCAAAGAGCAUCGCUUAUAUGCAUUUUCUAUUCGAUAGAUGAGAAUUUCUUUUCCCAUUAUCUAAUGUAUUCGCGAACGACCGACGACGAUUUACAAUUAAUAAAAUUACACGUAAUAACGUUUAUACCACAUAUACUUACUAAUGUUAUACUAUAUAAUAUUAUUUAUUAAUAAGACAAAAUUGUUUUUGAAAUAUAUUAUUAGAUUGGAAACUAUGAAAUGGGCAUUGAAUGAAUAUAAAUAAUUAAACAAAAACGCCCGUUUCAUAAUUUCCAAAUUAAUAUUAUAAAAUUGUAAUGAUAUUAAUUUCCUUACGAACGUUUAUCCUGUUAUGCUCGUGCUUUCGCAUACGCACACAUACGCAGGCAAGUUGAUCGUUCGGUGAUUGAUUCGAUACUAUUAUUUAAUCGUUCAUUAUAUCUUUCGACGAUCCUUAUUGAUAAACAGAGGGCCAUCCCCAAUGUCUAGAAAUCAAAACAUAUACAUGUACUAUUUAUAUUUAUAUUGUAUUAUGUGAUCUUACAAUGUAUCGAAUCUAUAUAUAUAUAUAUAUAUAUAUUUCAGGCCUUCCCCGAUUAUUAAAAAAUUAAUUGAAAUAUAUUAAAAACAGAUAAAUGUCUUUUGAUUAGUAUACGAUUAUUUGUAUAUAUCGAUGUGUGUGUGUGUGUGUGUGUUCGUAAUCUAUUUCCUACGAUCUUUCUUUACCGGUAAUAUAUAUUGGAAUAGGUAUCGAAAUUGAACAUAAGUCAAUAAAUCAAGACGAUAGAAGCAUUAAGUGUUUCAGAGAAAAUAUAACUAUUUAAAUUUAAUAGUUUAAAAUUGUGAAUUUAUUUAACAUAUUUCUAUUAAAAAUUCUCUUUUAAAAAGCUUAAUAUUCAUUAUAAUACCAAUCGUUUAAUUUCUUGUAUAGAAUAUUAUUAAAAUGUCAAAGGUUACGUUUUCAAUACUCGUUAUUGCACUAAUAAUGUGCAUCAUUGUUCAAACUAUUUUGGCUGCACCAACCUUACAAGAAAACGAAGAAGGACAAUUAGCCGGAUGCGGUCAUCAGGCUGCUCACUGUAAACGCAAUUCAGAUUGCUGCUUUUAUCUGAGAUGUGAUAGCUACGCUAAAUUGUGUGUACCUUAAAAAGAAGAAAUUAAAACAGAAACACACAUAUAUAUAAUUGGACAUGUUGAUUAAUCUAAUACGAUUAAUAACGUGUUAUUGAUAUUCGUUAUUAAAAUAUAUAAAUGUUACAAUUAUUAUUAUAAAAAUGUAAAAUAAAACUAUACGUUUAAUAUCAA